GAGGGGAGAAAGAGAACCUUGAACCUUUUUCCAUCUGGCAGCUUUUCAAUCAAAAUGCUGGGUUUGAUCCAACCAGCUUUUUUGUUUAUGACUACCAAAAAUGGCUAUACCCAGAUCAUGGGACCUGCACGUACAAAAGCUGUAUGGGAAGUGGUGAGAUUGUGUGGAAAAAGCUGGCUAGAUCCAACCUGCCAUUUUCCAACUGUAUUUCUGCUCACAGAGAGAAAUAUAGAGCACAUAUUUGCUUGCUUGUUCAACAAUGCUUGAAAAGUUAACUACUUUGUUUUAUUAUUUGUAAGGACACUGUUACUUCAGAACCCAGCACACCUGAUUCUGAUUCUCUACCGUCAUCUAAAACUGGGUCUUUUCAGACAGCAAACCAUGUUAUAAUGAUACCUCGAAUAGUCCUGACACGUCCUUCUACGUCUGAUGAAGAUGCUGACCAAUUAACACAAGACCCUGAUGACUCUGAGCCUGAAGAAACAGACAAUACUGAAAGCCAUCUUUAUUCAGACUGUUUAAAUCAUGCUUUUUACCCACCUUAAUAAAGUAUUUUCUUCAGGGAGGACAAAGGCUCCCUGGUAGUUCUUGCUGUUAUGAAUGUGGUACAUUAUCUGCACUGCCUUAUUAAAAGUUUAAACUAAUAAAAUGGAGUUGAAUUUUGACAGAGAAGAAAAAUCUAACAGUGUUCCAAUUUCCCUCAGACUUUACUUGGACUGUGAUUUUCAAAGCUGAAGUACAGCCAUCUGCAAACUAUUACUUUUGCCAAAGGUACCAACGAAGAGAUAUUAAAAAUUACUUGUUAAGCACAUUUUAAUAAGAUCAUUGUUGUCAUGCAGAGAAUACCUUAUUUUUAUCUGAAAGGGGAAAGACAGUAUAAUUUAAAGGUUGACGGGGCGUCAUGUCCCUAUUUUCUGUAUCAGACAGCUAAUAUACCUGAACAAAUGCUUCUCUUUGGGUUGAAUGUUACCUUUUAUGGACAGUUUUUAUCUGAAUAAAAAUUAUUUUUCAGUUAAAUCAA